AACUUUCAGCAACGGAUCUCUUGGCUCUCCCAUCGAUGAAGAACGCAGCGAAAUGCGAUAAGUAAUGUGAAUUGCAGAAUUCAGUGAAUCAUCGAAUCUUUGAACGCACCUUGCGCCCUUUGGUAUUCCGAAGGGCAUGCCUGUUUGAGUGUC
rnacentral:rRNA from 2 species